rnacentral:miRNA from 14 species
GAUAUACUGUAUAUAUACACACACACACAUACAUAUAUACAUACACAUAUAUGUGUGUGUGUAUGUGUGUGUAUAUAAAUUAAAGUGGAA